UCUCUCUCUCUCUCUCUCUCUCUCUCUCACACACACACACACACACACACACACAAGAUGCUGUGAGAUAUAUGAGGUGCUUAUUUUAAUCACGAAUGCUCCGUUUUCCAAGCUGCAAUGUCACAGUUUUCAUCAAGCCUCGGUUUAUGUUUUUUAUUAAGAAGCCGAGAGCUCCAGUUUUUUUUUCUCUCUGUUUGUCGAAGUGCCAGCCGGAGUGACAUCAUGCAGCCAUUGUUUUUUUGGAGCGCUCUGGAAUUUCCAUUUGUGCCUCUUGGCUUUAUAAUGUGCUCCUAGACAAUGCGGCAUUAACUCCAUGCUGAGUGUGAGAUCCAGCCUGGUGGACUGAGGUUCACGCUUCCUGAUGUAAUAGGAGUGACUGUGGCCUUUGCACACAGCUGUCCCAGAGCAGUGAAGAGUGAGGACUCAGAGGAGCGCUGAAUUCCUGUCAGAGGUGGGAGCAGUCAAAACCUCAGUGCCCAGCUUCUCUCCACUGUGUCCCCUGGAGCCCGUAUGCAAAUGAUAGCUUGGUAGCAGAUGUGCCUCUCUUGUUUACUGUGAUAUAGAGAGCGCCUUCGCUCCAUCAGCUCGAGAUCAUUGCCGAUGGAGUGCGUGUGCAGUCCAGACCGCAAGCCUGCAGAAUCGGGAAGACGAAAGAAGUGCCAAGCUCUUCCCUUCUCCGAUCAGGUUUCCUCCUGUCAGAAGACAAGCAUCCGCUGCGUUUUGAAACUAUUUUCAGCUCACUGACCAAGACACACUUUCUUCGCUGUUUGAGGAGCCAUGCGAUGAAGCGCACAUUUUCAACAGACAGAAUGGUUCUCUCAGAAUGGUUCAGCUAAAAAGCUGAAUCAACAACAGGCUCUUUGCACCCCCCCCCCAAAUGUGAACAUCUAUUGGCUUUGUUUUUUAACAUUAAUCCCUUUAUGUCAUGAAGAGACAGGAAAUAAAGUAGACUUACUUCGCUCUGGUUUUUAAGUUCAUGUUCCUUCUUUCUCCUCACUACAUUCCUCUAGAAUCACACAGCUGACUUAUUAGCAUCAAACAUUCAAAAAUCUUGUAACAACAGGUGUAACAGCGAGAAUGUACAUUAAUACCAAUCAGUCUAAUCUAUCUGUUGCUAUGUAGACUUUGCAUUUAGCAAGGACGUGAAUUGGAACAGCUAGUUCAUUAUUAGCAUUCAGCUAGUUUGUGCUGU